CUCGCGGCCCUCGCCAGCCAGAAGCUUCUCCUUCACCAUAGCGAGCGUGAGCAGAACCAUAACCGCCAGAUAAGAAAUGAACUUCGUGCUUCCCGGUAAGAAAAUCAAACCAGACUCCGCAGGGCUGGCAUGGAUUCUGGUCCUGGCCUCGUUCCUUUUUUACCAUAAAACUGGGCAUCGCACCACCUGGUUCUAUCAAAUCACCGGCGUGACCGCGUGAGUUGAAGUCAGAGAAAGAGAGAGAGCUGUAAGCGGCUGCCACCAUCGCCAAAGACAACCCCUGCUGCGCCGCCGGUUCGACCUCGGUUAUCGGCCCUGGUGGUACACCAGGAGGGCGGGUGCCUAAGACGUCAAGAGCAACGGCGUACCGCCUCGCUAUUGCCGAUCGGAGAUGGAUGGUCGUCCGUCGUCGAAGGCACCCAUUUGUGUUCGGAAAGUCGAAGCGACCUAGGAUGAUCACUGGUGUGUAGCGAAUCUGAAGGCUUUUUCCUGGAGCACGAAGAUGUCCGGACUCGAGUAGGGUCGAUCUUAGCUAGCGGCCGUGGAUCCGCCUCCUUCCGUGGACCGGCCCCACCAUAACGCUUUCGCUGGUCUCCGUCAUCGCGCAUGGGCGACGCCAUCACUAGCGGCCAGGGGUGGGAGACGGCCCCUACGCCGUCAAAUCGGGGAUGUGUGGUCCUGAUUAAAAGCUGGAUACCCUUUCGUGCAUUCAAUCCGGGCCAAUGGAUCAGAUCGAGCGGUUUCGAUUGGAUCACACCUCAUUAAAUCGUGGGCAUGGAUUGUGGAUCCCGUGGCUAUAAAAGUGUAUCACUUCAUAAUCUAUCUGUAGCCGUCAAAUCGAGAUCUAAGGGAUCUCUUAUGCC